rnacentral:lncRNA from 1 species
AUGGAAGCCAGUGCAGGUUUCAAGGCAUUCUACUGCACCACAGUACUGGAGAAUUUUCUCCAUGUGCUGCCCUGCCUCCAGCCUUCAGAGACUUUCUGCAGUGUAGUAGAUGAAGGCCUGGGAUCUGCACAAGGACUGCUCUCAGCCAUCCUGCCCUACCCUCAGCCUUCUGGGAACCAAGUGGAACACUUCCUGAAAGCCUUUGGGAAAGAGCUGGAGGGUGUGUGCAGAAUCUCUCUGUGCCUGGAUUUCCUUGAUUGUAAUCUGACAUUCCAGCCCACACACAGCCAAUAAAUUAUUGGUAUCUCUCCCUUUCCCCUUACUUAUGGUAUUUUCUCUUUGUCCCACUGUUUUCUAAGAGUUAAAAGUACGAAUAAUUCUCUUCACUUUUGAAAAUUCUCAUUAUUUUUUGAAUGUAAGUUUAUUUCUUUGCAUCCUCAUCCACCUAAUAAGAAUUUUUAAAACUGAGCUUUGUUUUGUUUUUUAAUCUCUUUUUGUUUGUGUCAGUUGAGGUGGAGCAACUAUUUCUUGUAACAUAAUCCUAACUGGACUCUUUUUCUUUUUUAAACUUUAGGAUUUCUGGACCUAAUUCUCCUCCUUUCUGUAAGUGAAGAUCACUUAGGAAAAGAAUGAAAAUAUGAGUUGUCUGUGGACUAUGUUGCACAUAGUAGUCUCCUGAAGGGAUAAGUCUGGCUCUGGGAAUUCCCUGGGGCACUCUGCACAGGGAUUGACCACUUUAUGCAGAUGAACUUUCCCUUUAAGCUCUAAGAUCCCACACAGCACCAGAGAUGGGUGUGACCUGCCAACGUGUCAGUCAACCUGCUGACUGCAAGACCUUACAAAGCAAGACUGGCCCUUGAAACCUUAUCCCUGCCUUUGAUGUAUCUCCUUAAAUAAACCACUGGAGCCAUCU